GAUGAACGCUGGCGGCGUGCCUAAUACAUGCAAGUCGAGCGAAGCGGGGACGGGUGAGUACCACGUGGAUAACCUCCUAUAAGACUGGGAUAACUUCGGGAAACCGGAGCUAAACCGGAUACUUAUACAUGGAUCCACGCUGCAUUAGCUAGUUGGUAAGGUAACGGCUUACCAAGGCAACGAUGCAUAGCCGACCUGAGAGGGUGAUCGGCCACACUGGAACUGAGACACGGUCCAGACUCCUACGGGAGGAAGCAGUAGGGAAUCUUCCGAAAUGGGCGAAAGCCUGACGGAGCAACGCCGCGUGAGUGAUGAAGGUCUUCGGAUCGUAAAACUCUGUUAUUAGGGGCGCGGUACCGGAAUAGAAAGCCACGGCUAACUACGUGCCAGCAGCCGCGGUAAUAC
rnacentral:rRNA from 1 species